GACGAACGCUGGCGGCGUGCCUAAUACAUGCAAGUUGAGCGAUGAAGACUGGUGUUUGCGCCAAUUUGAAGAGCAGCGAACGGGUGAGUAACGCGUGGGGAAUCUGCCUUUGAGCGGGGGACAACAUUUGGAAACGAAUGCUAAUACCGCAUAACAACUUUACACAUAAGUUUUAAGUUUGAAAGAUGCUAUUGCAUCACUCAAAGAUGAUCCCGCGUUGUAUUAGCUAGUUGGUGAGGUAAAGGCUCAACAAGGCGAUGAUACAUAGCCGACCUGAGAGGGGGAUCGGCCACAUUGGGACUAGAACACGAUCCAAACUCCUACGGGAGGCAGCAGUAGGGAAUCUUCGGCAAUGGAAGAAAGUCUGACCGAGCAACGACGCGUGAGUGAAGAAGGUAUUCGGAUCGUAAAACUCUGUUGGUAGAGAAGAACGUAGGGGAGAGUGGAAAGCUCAUCAAGUGACGGUAACUACACAGAAAGGGACGGCUAACUACGUG
rnacentral:rRNA from 1 species